CUGGAGCCGUGACGCGGAAGCCCAGGUCUGGAGGCGUUUGGCGGUUUAGCGCUUGGUGGAGUGGGGGUAUUGCAGGAAGGGGGCCUGGCAGUGCAGAACCCCAGGGUAGGAGCGUGCUUGGGAUUUCUGAGGAGCAGCAAGGAGACCAGGGCGGCUGGAGACAGCAAGACAGAGAGGGCAGGGAUGGUGGCGUAUGACCGGGCAAGGCAAGAGAGGAGUUCAGGAAGGGCCUGGGAGCGCAGGGAAGACUUGGGAUUUCACUCCUAGGAAGUGGAACCCCUUAACAGGUUUGGAGACUAGGGGGGAGCGGAUGUGACUUCCUCUGUGACGGGCCGGUGGUGGCUGCGGCGUUGAAAAUAGAAUAGCUCUGGUUAUGAUUGUUCUGAUGAUGACUACAUUUCAGUUCAGCAGGUGGGAACGCAAGUACCUGGGCUUCCAAAGAAACAGGACCAGGAGAUGUGCAGAUUCUUGAUGUGUCAGGCUCAUUUGGUAUUGUAAAUGACUCCUCUGAAGAGGCCUCCUUCAUUCAAAGGCAACAUCUGUCAGGAAUACCACGGAUCUCUGGGAAAAGCAUGGUCUCCUGAAUCAACAGCCAUAAUGACAGCUUGUUGAAGAUUUACAUGGCUUCUGAUUUCAGCCUGAUAAUUCCGUUUUAACAUGGAAUCAGCUAGAACACCAUCUCUUAAGGAAACCUCCUCUGAUGACAACUCCUUGUACCACCCUAUCCGGCCUCCAGUCUAAACCAAAUCUCCACGUACCGCCUUCAUUUUCCCUUCAGAAAGUUCAAGGAUCUGCCUAACAUUUAUCUCCCAUUAGGACUGCACAGUCCAAAAGAAGAAAGAUAAGGAUUUACAUAGUUUUGCAUCUGAAAAGAUACUUGGUGGCUCUCCUCUCCUGUUGAACUCCAUUAAACCUCAUUAUUGCUUUUCAAGGAUUAAGACUUGCCCCCAAGGAAUUAGUGGGGAGCACCCCCCUCUUCUCAAGCAGCUCUUGUGAUAGGCUGGUCUCCAGCCCAGGGAGUAACAUCCAAGGAGUUUAAACUGCUUCUGGCCAUGAACCAGUCAGGUGUGAUACUCAGGCAAGAGAGAAAAGAGGAGGAAUGAGUAGAAAGGAGAGAGAAGGGAAGAGAAGAUCAGAGAAGGAGAGUUUUGAAUGGAACGUCUUCUGUGGGCAUGCUCAGAUAAGGACUUAUGCCUCAGAUCGUUCUCUCUGCUAGCUUCCCAAAGCCCUCUGUGAUAGGUAUCGAAGACAGGAAAGGACCCUGAUCCAGAACAGAAAGAGCUCUGGGAGAUCACAAUGAGGAAAACCAACCAUCCAGGGUCUCAGCAAUCAGGGCAGGCCAAAUCCCUCCAUUGGGAGGACUCCCUGGUCCUCCCUGAGUGCAGCGCUGGGCAUCAAACAUCCUGCGAAUGUCUGUACACUUGGGCUUCAUUUCCUCCAACACUACAUCCUGAUGACUCCCUGAUGAUAAUAAGGAUCUACUUGGCACAACCAGUCUCCUUUCGCCUGCACAGAGCGCUCAGAGACCAUGAUAGAAAGGCUCACUCUUCUUUUUACUUAAGGAAAAGACCUGUCUGUUUACAAUGUACUUGUCAUCUCCACUCCCUGCUGAAGAUUUGCUGCAGACAGUGAGCAAUCAUUUUAAACCAGAUCUAGGAAGUCUUGGUAUAUCAGGUUUUCAGAGUAUCACCUUCUGCUUUGGCUCAUUGGCUUAAUCUAUUUUUCUUAAACCAAGUGACUCUCAAAGAGAUGGUUACAUAGUCACAAGACAACAUGUGGCUUUUAUUUCCUCUUUCCUAUCAAGUGUCUGAAAAGCCCCGUGCUGGAAGUUAAAAUAAUCCAGGCAGUCGUAAUCCUUGCCUGCUGAAGUGGUGGUGAAAUGUGUGACCGAGGAACGUUUCUUGCACCUGCUGGUUUGCUAUGCAGGCUGAACUUGGUGAAGCACUGGAAAGGAUCUCAUGAAGUUAAGCUUGCACACAUCCUGUGUUGGAAAAUGCUAGCCUACAACAAUUGCUCAGUUUUCUAAGCUCCACUGAGCCCAUAUUUAUGGACCAUGAACACCUAGCAUAUUCCAGGUGCUGCAUCUGUGACUGGGGUAAGGCAAGAUUCCCACCCUCGGGGAACCCACCAUCUAGAAGAUAAAAGGACAGAUACUUCGGUGCCAUGUUGGACAUAAGAAAAACAGGUUGUGGAUGGGGGGGCAAGGAAAUCAACUCUAUCUGGGGAUAUAGGCUAUUAAAAAAGGAGGUGGGCCUUACAGGGUGAGUAGAACCCACCAACCAAAGAAAAAGGGACAAGAUCAUUGCAAGUGAGGAAGAAGCACAGCUACUUCUACUCCUCCCCUGUGGUAAUGUUUCAGAAAGAAAUGCCAUCUGGAAUGUUACAGGAGGCCUCAGAAUUGCUUGUGAACUCUCUAACUCUUGUGAACUCUUUUCUCUCGAAGCCCCUCUAACCAGGAAGAUGGCACACAGGUGAUGCUGGGUCCCUGUCCCGUGGGAAGGUGGCUCGCCAGACUCGAUCACCCUUACUUGUCUCCAAAAGGUGCCAACUGAGUUUUGUGAGGUCUUGAGCAUCAUCCAGAAGCAGAUCUCAUCACCGAUGGGGCAAGGCUGCUCUGCACAAUGACCUUAUGUGGUGGUUUUAAAAUAGGACUUUCUUUGACUCUCUCCUUUGAAAAGAUAGAGGCUUAGUUCCCUCCCCUUGCAUGUGGGUCAGAUUCAGUCACUUAAUUUUUUAAAAAGAUUUUAUUUAUUUAUUUGAGAGAGAGAGAGAGAGAGAGAGAGAAAGAGAGAACAAGUGGUGGGGAGGAGCAGAGGGAGAGAGAGCCAGAAAAGCAGAACUUUGCAGGGCUGUAUCCCAGGACCCUGAGAUCAUGACCUGAGCUGAAGGCAGAUGCUUAACCCACUGAGCCACUCAGGUGCUCCUAGUGACUUGAUUUUAAUGAAAACAACAUGACCAAAGGGAUUCUCUUUGGCUUCUGGGGCUAGGUCAUAAAAAGCCUACAGCUUCUGCCUGGCUAUGUCUCUGUCUCUCUCCCUCUCUCUCUCUUCAUAUUUCCCUGUCUGUCUCUUUGUGUGCCUCCCUGUCUCUCUGCAUCUCUGUCUCUCUAUGUCUCUAUCUGUGUGUAUGUCUCUAUCUCUCUCUGUGUCUCUGUCCCUCUCUGACUCAGUCUCUUGAUGUGUCUGUCUCUUUCUGUGUGGGUCUCUGUCUCUUGUUUAUCUCUCUUCCCCACUCUGGACACUCAUGUCUGGAAUGCAGCCACCAUGUCUUGAAGAAGCCCAGACCACCUGGAGAAGCCACAUGGAAGGAUUCCCCGGCUCGUCCCAGCUCAGCUCACCACCAGUGCAGCCACACAUGGAAUCACGUGAUGAGUGCCCUGAAGCCACCCAAAUUUAGCUCCACAGCCAGGCCCCAUGUGAAGAGAACCACAGGAAAAAUGCAGAGGACAGCACAUUUAUUGGGGGCCUUGGGACCUAAGAGUGCCCAGGUCCAGAAAGUUCUAAGAUUUUGGCUCAUACAGAGGCUUUAGAACCUUUUUAGCAGAUACCAUGCAAAUUCCACCAAUGCUCAAAGCACAGUAGUGAUGAAAAGCCUUUCAAAAGGAGUUGGAGACCUCCAUGGCUCAACCAGGCACUCCUGGGCAUAUUCAGUCUGCUUUGCUGACUCUUGCCAACUGGCGGAAGUUUCUCUUCACUCAAGACCAGCCACUUCCCUGGAGGAUCGGUGACAAAGCAGCUCCAGUGUAGCUGGGGAAAUCCUGACCUUGGCCUCUGAUAGUUCCUGAACCCCUCUACACAGGGGCAGGUGCUGGGUGAGGACUGUGCAGAGGAGGGAGGAGGCCAUCACGCCACCCUUCGUGAGCUUCCAACCAACGCCACCCUUCUAGCCUUGGUUGGGUGAAAGCUGCUGGAGGCCACUGUCCCAGCGCAGACACUGCCAAGCUGUCAGCUUUCAAUUACGGGUUGGAAGAAUCUUUCCCAAUCUUUCUCCUUGGAGGAAGGUAAUUGUGUGUACCUUUUCUUAAAUGCUUUAAGAGCCAGGAUUGAAAUUAAAAGAGUUUUCUCUUCAACUGUUAAAGAGAGAGCUGAAUUACCCAACAAAGGCAACGGUCUAAAGCAUUCUGGGGAAUGGGGGUUUUUGUCUUCAUUAUGGAGGAAGGACCUGCUGCUUGCCAGGCUCUGCGGAGCGACAGCUCUGAGCCAGGAGCUCUGGACCCUGGGUGGAAACAGGUGGUGAAUAAGUAGUGGCUGAAAUGGUUAAUUACUAUGGCAGUAAGUGGCACCGAGAAAUACAGGAGACUCUGAGGGUGGCUAUGGAGGGAGAGUCAAAUGCACCCAGGGAGUCAGGAUUCCCUGCUUCCUUCCAUCUCAACCUUGUCGAGGCUGGUGCAAAAAAAGUCCCUCCCUGAGCUUUGUGGCAGCCUUGUGAGAGACAGCUCAGAGGAAGGAAGGUUGCAGCCAGCUCCCCCCUUUCUUUAUAACCAGCAUCCAUAUCCUUCCCCACGGGGCGCCUUCAGCAGGUGCAUGAAUCCAUCUCCCACACCCGCUGCCGUCCACACAAAUAAAAUCCUAAGAAUGGCCAAUAUAUUCUGAGCCAAGUCACAAUAGCCCGCGAGAAGAAAUGCAUAAACUCAUAACUUCAAACCUAGGCUAUUUAGCAUCCCAUUAAAAAUAUUCAAAAUAUAAAUCAAAAUUCAUAGGAAUAAGUAAUAUUCAAUUUAGAAUUUAUGGCAUUUUAAAAUAGGAUGAUUUCCUCAAAUGUGCAAUAAAUUUGGUUUUGUGGAAUUGCGCUUGCCACCUUAUCAUGACAGUUGCUUUAUCUACACAGCCCACCAAAGCGGAGUCACUUUAUAGAAUCUAAAUUCACAAAUCAACUGUCGUCUUCACUUCACUGAUUCAUUGCUGAUGGGCCUUUCACAAGGUAAAAAAAAAAAAAAAGAAAUCCCUUCCGAGUUGACAAGAGUAAUAAAUGGGGAGGUGAGCGCUGCCCAUCCAUCCGCUGGCCCGCUGACCUGCCUAUAGUGAUACACAGCAGAAUAAACUCAUAAACCAGCCGCCUCUUUUGACCUCUCAGAGUAAAUGGAAACAGAAGAGCGUUUAUGAUGAUCACUCUGAGGACUGGGGGUCUGACCAGAGGAUUAUACAAACUCGAAGAGCACCUUGAAAACAGGAACCCAGGCCAGCCUGUGGAGAAUCCAAAAUUUUGAGAUUUUUGGAGAGGUUUUCCCUUCAUCAGUUUUCAUUGUCCCCGCUGUUCUGUUGUUUAUUCAGGUGAGAGAGUGCUGGUGCAGGACACACAACGGGGAAGGGGCGCCUCAGAGUCUUGCAGAGAAAACAUGGCCUUAAGUCUUAGGAAGAAGGGAGGAAGGAAACUGACCAAAUCAAAGCACACGUUUGUAUUGCAGAGAUGCCUAGAGCCGCCUGUGUGUAGUUUCUCCAAACAGCGAGUUCUAGACCCAGACAAGGAAAUGCCAUCCUUAGAAGGAUGAAGGCUGGACUAUCCCACUCGAUGCUUAGGCUUCUCAUUUGAUCUUCAUUCAUUUACAUAACAAAUAUUUAUUGAGCAUUUACUACAUGCUGGGCAUAGUUCUAAAGGCUAGAGGUGCAGCCAUAAAUAAAAUGGUCAGAAAUACCUUGCCUUUGAGGGGCUUACGUCCUAGUUGGGAGAGGUGGGUGUAAAUGAGGUAAUGAAGUAAAAAUACAUAAUAUGUUUGCUGGUGGUGAAUGCUUAGCAGAAAGAUAAAGCAGGAAAUGGGACAGGCGGUAUGUGUGAAUAUAUAUAUGGUAGUGGCUUAGGGCUGAGGGGGUGUCUAGAAGAGAGAAGGUGACACAAGUAAAGAUCUGUUGGAGAUGCAGGAGUGAGGAACAGUGUUAUGAAAAGAAGGAACAGUAAAUACAAAGUAUUUGAGGAAGGAGAGUCCUGGCUCAUUCAGGAGACAUCAAGAAGUCCAUUAUGACUAGAAUAAAAUGAGCGCAGGGCAGAGUAACAGAUGAAGUGGAAGCAGUGGGGAGGAGCCCAGUUGAUGCUGGGCCUUAGAACCCUUGUGAGGAACUGGCUUUUGGAGAGGUAUGGGGAGCUCUAGAAGGGUUUUGAGCAGAGGAGUGACAAGACCUGACGUAUGUUGUUAAGGUAUCCCUCUGGCUGCUGCCCUGUCUGCAGACCAGAGGGGGCUUAGGUGGAAGCUCAAAGUCCAGGUGAGAGGCCACUGAAGUGCAUUUGGUGAUCAGUGGUGGUACUUGGGCCAGGAAGGCAGCGAAGGAGAGGGACCCCAAGCUUCCACAGCAUCAUCUUCCCCUAAAGCCCAGACAUUGCAGGAAUUCAAGCCUCUCAAGUGCCCUGUGGCCCCUGAGAACACUUUGUUGAGAAAUUGCAUUAUUUCAGGGGGAGCUUUAUCACAAGCAUAUGGGGAUGGUAUUCAGAUGAGGUAGCCACCAUCUAGUGGGGGGUGGAAUGGAUUCUGUUUUGCCCAGCCGUGGCUGAAGAUAGUCUUCUAGAAGAUCCUUCCCCUGGGUGAAGAUCCAAAGGUGAAGCCAUGAAUCCUUUGCAGAACCUACUGGAAAGAAGAAUUUUCUGAUGUGGUCAACAGCCCCUCCAGACGUUUCCAGUUGUCACCAACACCCUGGAACAACAGUGGGUUAGUGACCCUGACUUCCUCUACUUGAUAAUAAAUAUGUGAAUGUAGAUAGAUAUAGACAAAAAGAUAUACAGUGAUAAAUCCCUGUGUUUUUCAUUACUACUUAUUGAUCUACUACUAUGUGCCAGGCAUCACAUUAAGACUUCAACAUAAUUUAUCUUAUUUAAUCCUCUAAAACAAACUCAGCGUGGGGAGGUAUAAAUAGCCCAGUUUUACAGAUGGAAAAUCAGGACUCAGAAAAAAGACACAAGUCUAUACAUCCAUUAAGUGAUGGAGUUAAUAUGAAAGCUGGCCUGGCCUCAAAGCCUUAUGCUCUGUCCACCAUCCCACACUGCCUGGAAUUGGUUGACAGACACUAUUUCUCUUUUUUUAUUAUAUAGUUGGCAUACAAUAUUAUAUUAGUUUCAGGUGUACUGCAUCCGUGAUUAGAUAUUUAUCUAUAUUAUGAAAUACUGACCACCAUAAGUGCAGUUACCAUCUGCCACCAUAAAAAGUUAUUACAUUAUUAUUCCCACACACCCUAUCCUGUAUGGCCAAUGGUAUAGCCACCGUCAUCCCUGUGACUUAUUUACUUUAUUAUUAGAAGUUUGUAUCUCUUGAUCCUUUUCACUUAUUUUGCCCAUUGCCACAUGUCCCUAACCUCUGGCAACCACUACUUUGUCCUCUGUACUUACGAGUCUGUUUCUAUUUUGUUUGUUCGUUUUUUGUUUUGUUUUGUUUUUCUUUUUAGAUUCCACAUAUAAGCGAAAUCAUACAGUAUUUGUCUUUCUCUUUCUGACUCAUUUCACUUAGCAUAAUACCCUCUAGGUCCACCCAGGUUGUUGCGAAAGGCAAGAUCUCAUCCUUUACUGUGGCUAAGGUAUAUUCCAUUGCAUGUAAAUACCACUUGCCUUUUGACCAUUCAUCAGUUGAUAGACACUUAGGAUGUUUCCAUAUCUUGCCUAUUAUAAAUAAUGCUGCGAUGAACAUAGAGGCACAGGCAUCUUUUAGAAUUAGUGUUUUUGUUUUCUUCAGCUACAUACCCAGAAGUGGAAUUGCUGAAUUGUAUGGUAGUUCUCUUUUUUACUUUUUGAGGAACAGAAAAAGUACCAUGCCCAACCGAUGAGGUCCCCUUUUUGCUAUAUCCUCCACAACGCUUGUUAUUUCUUGCCUUUUUGAUACUUGCCAUGCUGACAGAUUUGAGGUGAUUUCUUAUUAUGGUUUUGAGUUGCAUUUCCCCGAUGAUGAGUGAUGUUGAGCAUCUUUUCAUGUAUCUGUGGCCAUCUGUAACCUUCUUUGGAAAAAUGUCUAUUUUGAUCCU